rnacentral:rRNA from 1 species
UGGGGAAUAUUGGACAAUGGGCGAAAGCCUGAUCCAGCCAUGCCGCGUGUGUGAAGAAGGUCUUCGGAUUGUAAAGCACUUUAAGUUGGGAGGAAGGGCAGUAAGCGAAUACCUUGCUGUUUUGACGUUACCGACAGAAUACGCACCGGCUCACUCUGUGCCAGCAGCCGCGGUAAUACAGAGGGUGCAAGCGUUCAUCGGAAUUACUGGGCGUAAAGCGCGCGUAGGUGGUUCGUUAAGUUGAAUGUGAAAGCCCCGGGCUCAACCUGGGAACUGGAUCCAAAACUGGCGAGCUAGAGUAGGGCAGAGGGUGGUGGAAGUUCCUGUGUAGCGGUGAAAUGCGUAGAUAUAGGAAGGAACACCAGUGGCGAAGGCGACCACCUGGGCUCAUACUGACACUGAGGUGCGAAAGCGUGGGGAGCAAACAGG